UACGGGGGGGGUAAGCGUUGUUCGGAAUUACUGGGCGUAAAGGGCUCGUAGGCGGCCAACUAAGUCAUACGUGAAAUCCCUCAGCUUAACUGGGGAACUGCGUGUGAUACUGGAUGGCUUGGAUUUGGGAGAGGGAUGCGGAAUUCCAGGUGUAGCGGUGAAAUGCGUAGAUAUCAGGAGGAACACCGGUGGCGAAGGCGGCAUCCUGGACCAAUAUUGACGCUGAGGAGCGAAAGCUAGGGGAGCAAACGGG
rnacentral:rRNA from 1 species